rnacentral:rRNA from 1 species
CCUACGGGAGGCAGCAGUGGGGAAUAUUGGACAAUGGGCGCAAGCCUGAUCCAGCCAUGCCGCGUGUGUGAAGAAGGCCUUCGGGUUGUAAAGCACUUUUAUCCGGAAAGAAAAGCUUUGGGUUAAUACCCUGAAGUCAUGACGGUACCGGAAGAAUAAGCACCGGCUAACUUCGUGCCAGCAGCCGCGGUAAUACGAAGGGUGCAAGCGUUACUCGGAAUUACUGGGCGUAAAGCGUGCGUAGGUGGUUUGUUAAGUCUGAUGUGAAAGCCCUAGGCUCAACCUGGGAAUUGCAUUGGAUACUGGCAGGCUAGAGUGCGGUAGAGGAUAGUGGAAUUCCCGGUGUAGCAGUGAAAUGCGUAGAGAUCGGGAGGAACAUCUGUGGCGAAGGCGACUAUCUGGGCCAGCACUGACACUGAGGCGCGAAAGCGUGGGGAGCAAACAGGAUUAGAUACCCUGGUAGUCCACGCCCUAAACGAUGCGAACUAGAUGUUGGUGCACUAGCGACUCAGUAUGAGACACGACGUUAGUUACGUCCGCCGUCGGGAGGUACGGUCGGCGAGACGUAGAACGUACGAACGUAGUAAGUUAGUACGGACGUUGAGACGUUGCCGACGGACGACGACGAGGGAGGAGGG